CGCAGCUGGGCUCCGCAACCAGCUCACUUGGUAGAGAAGAGUCUAGAAGGGCUCGUGCCAGCUAUAAACAGAGCGAUCAGCAUACACAGGAUGUGGAAUUAUCUCAUCUGCGCUCAUUGAAGACUGUUGACUCUGAGGGGAGUGUUUACUUGAGGACACCUCGCCUGGCCAGGAAGGAGCAAUGCGGAGAGCGAGCGCUGGUUCCUCCCAGUCACAGCCCAACCAGCCUGUGCUGCGCCGAGGUGCUUUGUAAACAUUUGUUCAUCCUUGCACACACCUCCCGCCCCCCGUAAGGUGAGGAAAUGUUAUUGCCACCUUUCCACAGAUGGAAGAAGUGAGCACAGAGAGGUGCGGUGACUCAUCAGCCGCAGCUGAGGCAGAGCUGGAGCUGCGGAGCCAAUCUCCCAGCCCUGACAUUGCCGGCAGUCACGUUCUCACCCGGCGCUGGGACGUGGGCAGCGCCAGCCCCAUCCACCUGCCACCCACCUGUCCUGGGAGGCGGCAGCGUGCAUCUCAGCGUGUACAGAAAGAGAUCAGAUCGCCGUGGCUUGCUCCGUGUGCUGGUGUCAUCGCAGCGUGGUCUGGGCAGGAUGCGCUGUGAUCAGAUUCACCGUACCCGAGGGAAGGGUAGAGUUUGCUCUACACAUCUGUUCAUUUUUAAGUAAAACGCUCGGUACUUUCUUCUUUU
ensembl:lncRNA